UCCCAUUAUUUUUAAAUCCAAGAACCUUUCCAACAUUGAGCUGAAAUUAAAGAUAACAACCUCUCCUAAAAGACUCCAAGAACACAUGUUAGUUCCUGCCUGAAGAGGGGUUUGUAUGCCAUAAAGAAAGACACACAGACACACAGGUACACAGGCAUGUACACACACACACAUACUUGCAUACACACACAAAAAAUACAUAAAUUAAUAUGAGUUUAAAAAGAGCCAGAGUCUUAAUAAACUACCAAGGUUUACAUCCAAACUCCCUUUCUUCAUGGUUAGAUGAACUUUCCAGUCUCUCUGGACCCUGUCCUGGGGAUAAUAGAAAUACCUACCUCACAUUUCAGUUGGAAGACUGAAACGACCUAAAACAUACAAAGUUAUCAGUAGAAUGCCUGGCAUACUGAAUCCUCCUGAAAGAUAAGCUGUAAUUCCUGUCAUCUGUGGAGCUCAUUUUAGGUUACUUACAUAACCUUCUGGAGCACAAACCAACUGAACCUGUUUGAAGAUAAAUGGAGAAGGAGCAGCUCCUCCAUGGGAAGAAAGGGCAUGGAGAAGAGAAUCACCCCCACAGGAUUAAAGCUAAUGUUUGAACAGUAGGCCUUGAGGUAGGAGGAGAAUCCCCAAAGGAUUGGAACAAGAAAAGAAACACUUAAUUUAAAUCAGCACUACAUACCUGGCAGUUGGUGAAAAAAAAAAAAAAAAAAAAAAAACGAAAGUGCUAUAAAACAGUUCAUCAGGAAGUGCCAUGCUGUGUUAAAUUAUAGGUAAUAAAGUCACCGUGUCAUGAAGAAAGCCACUACACAGACUAGGAAAUGACUUUUCUAAGCUGUGAGAGUCACAUUCAUUUCUAUUUCCUGGGAUUACCCAAGGGGCAUGACUGCAUUUGGAUGACAGUAAGCGCACACUGCCUGCCAGGUCCUUGUGGUUCUGUGAGAAGCCCUGAAAUUUCAGUAUCUUUGCAAAACAGAUACUGAACACUAAAAGGCAUACACUGAAGAAGGCAUACAUGGCUGAAGCUUCUGGGCUUAAAUGAAGUUGGACUUAUACUCCCCCAAGACUCCUCCUCAAAGACAGCACCAAACGAUGCUGCAGCCCAACUCAGGUGCUAGGGGAAGAUUGUGCCCCACCUGUCAGAUGUUGGAUAUAAGAAUUAAGGGACUCUGGGGGGCACAGGACAGAUAGAGGAGCUCUGAAAGGUUGAUAUCACUUAAGGUUACAAUGAAGAAGUCUCGGCUACCAGAAUAAGUGUAGCUACCGCCCCUUCUCAGAGAAGCCCUUUAACAACAAAUGGAGCCAUCACAGAAAACCACAACUGGACACCAUGCAGAGAUCAGCACAUCAUGGAGAGCCCAGACACAAUGGAUACAUCUACAUUACAGUUCCUACAUCUGUGGUGUGGGGAACAUCUGGGAAAAGGGACAGAAAGAUUUUAAGGGCCAGAUAGAAGAAAGUCUGCUGAGAAACAGUCUCUUCUAGAAAUGGCAUCAUAGACAAGAUUGGAACAAUGGCAAUAUCAGUGGACAUGUUAAUGUGGAAGGGGGAAAUUCUGGGGGGGCUCCACUCUUAGAAAAAAAUUAUAGGCAACUGAAGACCGCUGGGUGAAGGGGAAUUAGCCUCUCCCAGGGAUGAGGCCCUUAUUCCCUUAUUGAUGUCCAAUGCAGGGAUGAGGUUAAAAAAAAAAAAGCUCUGAAGACUUUUUUUAACCUCAUGGUUGUAUGUAAGUAAGUAAGUAGGUAUGUAUGUAUGUGUGUGUUUGUGUGUGUAUGUAUUCAUGUAUGUAUGUAUGUAUGUAUGUAUGUAUGUAUAUGCUGUCAAUGAGAGUGGAGGGCACUGGAGGAUUCAAGGUAAGGUAAUUAGAAAGAGCUGGAAGGAGGGAAGGGAAAGAGAAAGUUGAUGUAACUCUAUCGCAAUUAAAAGCAUAAUAAAAAUUUAAGACUGUUUUAACUAUUCUCUUUCCACAAUAGAAUUUUCUCUGGACAAAUGAUUACACAAUGAAAAUCAAUUAAACUGAUGAUCAUGGAUUCUGUGUCUCCACUGCUUUAAAUUUAUUAAACCUGUUUUUGAAUGUGUUUAAGUGCUCAGCAGUUUACAAGCGGCACUACCAAAUUCAUUAAAACCCAUUUGUUACCUAAUUUAAACAUUGUGAAAAGGCCAAAACAAUUAUCCUAGGGAUGGAGCUAACAUAUAGACACAUGGAUUCUUCAUCAUGGUUAGUGGGCUCUUCUGCAGAAUAUUGCUUCACCUGUAUGUAUAUAGGGCUCUCCUGCUCCAGGCUGUGCUGUACAAAAGAUGGAGAUAAAGAGGGCUGGGUUGUCUUAUUUUGUAUUCCUAGUGAAACUGAGUAUAAUACCACACACCUGCAAUUUUAGCACUGGGAAGGUUGAAGCAGGAUGGAAGUUUUAGGUCAGCAUGGGAUACAUAGAAAGACCCUGUCUAAAACAAAAAUCAAAACAUCCAAGAAUGAAAUGUGCCCUGGAUAUUCAGGAUGGUAUAUCCUGUCAAGGGUUAUCUUUUCUGUCAACAUGGAUUACUGCAGAAUACAGUUGUGUUGUUCAUUUCAGACUCAUCUAGGAGAUAUGAAGGGAAAUUAAUUAUCAGCUAAUUUUAGACCAAUUAGUACACAAGUCUAGCAUAAAUUGGAAUCUACUUCUCUACUACAUCUAAAUUUCUUUAUCAAAUAUAUUAUUUGUAUCAAGAUAACCAAGUCCGAGGACAGUGAAAGAGUAAAUAAACCAUGGUGUUAUCUUGGUGUUUGCUUCUGCAUCUCUGCAGAAGGGUAGGGAUUAGGGAACAACGCCAUUUCGUGUAAAGGAGGCCACUGUGCACAUUACUGAACCCAUUUAAUACUAGGAGAGUCUGACACUUGGUUAAGUUAAAGAAUCUUGUGAAGGUUAUGCAGCUAAUAAAAUGUAAGAUGAAAGAUUCCUAUCCCAGUGUCUUCAAAGCAGCUUUUCAGAUACAGGUGAAAACAAAGUUGUGGUUCAGGGAUAAGAGUUGACUAAGAUAAACAAGGCAAAGGUAAGAUUGUUUUGUGUAAACCCCUUAUCUGGUCCAGAAAAUGUGCACUCAAGCCGGAUUGACUUCUAGAGCUUAUUGGACCAAACAAAACCCAAGAAAUGGCUUUAUCUUAAUACACAAAAAGGGUCGAUGGUAGGCUUUGGUUUGGGAACAGAUUCUCUUUAGCUAGUAGAAGCAUUGUAAGGCAUUAUGUUGAGAAAGUAUUCUGAGAGCUUGGUCAAGUUGGUAGUAAAGAGUCGUGUGCUUGGUUAGCUGUGUCUGCACAACCUGUGGGGAACAGAAGGAAUGGCAUGAGUGUCUCAGAUUUUUUCACCCUUGCUCUAGGCACAAAAAUCAGAGAAUACUUAGCAAUAGCUUUCCCAAGAAAAGUCCCAAGAGCUUGCUUCUACUUCUAUUCAUUAACUGAACCCCAAUCCAUACAACAUGCCUAGGAGUAUGUAGCAGUGGCCAAGAUACCAUUGGUAACUGUCUUCAACAUGAAUGCAGAACCUCAUUUUUCAACAGAGGAAAUGGACUUCCAACAAGUGAAAGGACAGACGUCCUUGACAAAUAAUUACUCUUCAUAUUAGCCAAAAGAGCCAUCAUAAGCUAAAUAUUCUCAGCAAAAUAUUAUAUUACCACAGAAAAUACAGUACAAAAAUACUUUUACAGCUGUCCCAAGAGAAUCUCAAUAACUCUUGCUACUACCACUCCAUAUGUAGUUUCAACUAGCAAAUUAAUAUACCUCUUUUUAAAAGCCAUUUUUGUGAGGGGAAGAAUGAAAGAAAGUGAAAAAGAAAUAUUGUCUCUCAAGGGUGAAGUAGAUGUUCGUAAUUCCACAGUCAACUUCUUGGGUCUUAAGGAUUGGAUAUUGAAUCUGCCUGUUGAGGAAAUGGAAGUUUGAAGCCAGGACAGACUGGCACUCAGAGGACAGUGGGAUGUUGUAUUGCCCACAUCAACUUACCCUGCCCCAUUUUCCUCAUCUGUAUGCUGUUGUCAACCUUACUUCCUGAUAUCUUUUUAAAAGUACAUCUAUGGCAUUCCAACUUCAAGGGGGUUUCAAAGGGACAGUGCCCAAGGCAUGAAAGGAUUUAUUUAAUGCACAAAUAAGUAGUCCUAAAAUGUUAAAAUCUUUUCAAUACACCACCUGACCUAGAAAAGCCAGGUAUCUCUGUGUGUGUGUUUGUGUGUACAUAUGUAUGUGCAUAUGUGUGUGUGUGUGUGUGUGUGUGUGUGUGUGUGUGUGUGUGUGUGUGUAGCACCAAGGACUUGUGGGAGGGGAAGAAUAUGACCAAAAUAUAUAUCAUCAACUUGAGAGAGGCCAGGGGGUGGUACAUGAGAAGGGUUAAAGAGGAAGGAGAAAAUGAUGUAAUUAUAUUUCAAUUUCAAAAAAAUAAGAAAAUAUAAAAAAGGAGCAUUAAUGAUUGAAGGAAGAAUUUGGACUAGUAAAAUGGAAGAAUAACGUGUUUUCCUACAAAGCAUUCAUGAGCUGUAAAUGGGAUUACACACAAGCUACAGUGUACUACCUCUAGUUUAAUAAUUUUGUAGUACUCAAAGGAAAUCAAAUUCUACUAAUUUUAGAUAUUCUAACAGCAUUGACCAUUUGACUCUGAUCCUGAAAAUAUAGCACACAGACAUGGACAAUUAGAUGAAAAUGAUGAUUGUUUACAGGAACUGUAGGUUGUUCCUGGUUAAUCUGCCUUUGUUAUGUGCUGAGGGACAGAUAGAAACAUUCAAUUGUAGAAGCUCUGGUGGCACUGGCACAGAAUGUAAUCCCUAGUAGUCAGAUUGUUUUCCCCACAGAGAUCCAGUGCUUGAGACAAUCAGUCCCUGAGUAAAUUCGUGUUUCUUUUCAAGUCCAAGAUCAAGUGGACUCAUUCUAUGUGCCUCUAAUGGGUGUGUCAGAUGGCAGUGACAGACAGACAGCAUGGUGAAAUAAUCUGCUCAGCCCAUAGGCAGGAAACAAAAGAGAAGAGGAAGAGGGCACACAAUUGAGGGCACAUCCUUAGUGACCUGAGCUUCUUCCACAAAUGCCCCGCCCUAAGGUCCAGGGUCCUUUCAGAUAGUCUACCACAGAAAACAAGUAAAGACUCUCAGAUUGCUGAGGACUGUUCAACAAUCAGACUAUUGAUUAUGCUUUGGAGAGAAGGACACAUAGGAGCAAACAAAGUAAGUCAUCAGGGUAGGCCCUAAUCUAAUCUAACUGGUGUCCUUGCAAGAGGAAGUUGAGGCACAAACUGGCAUAGAGGGAAGACAUUGCAAAGACAGAGGGAGAGAACGACAAUUUACAAGCCACAAAAAAAGACCUCAGAAGCUACCAAGGCUACUGACAUCUUGAUCUCAGGGUUGUGGCUUACAGAUCUAUACCUUUUAGGUACAGAAUGUGCCAUCUGUUGGUGAUACUUUCUUAUGCCAUUUCUAUUAAGCUAAUCAACAUAGCAUGUAUGGAUCUAUCUGUGAUCCUGGCUUGCCUCUUGAGGUUUAUCUGUGUGUACUAAGCAGACUGAAGAAUGAAAGACAAGCCUUGGGGCAUCAGGUUAGUGGUAAGGCACAGACAAACGUUCUCUUCAUACUGAGAUGCAGGCUGUAGAGCCAUUUUCAUUUUAAAAUAUCUUCAGACACCUUAAGGAAUUUGCCCACAACACUGUGGACACAGUUUCCCAGAUCCUUCCCAUUGCCUCUUCUCUCAGCAUUCCUACAUGGGACUACUCCUCUCUCUGCAACUUUAACUGAAACUCUCAAGGCACUUUCUGAACCGUUGAGUCUACUUUUGUAAAGAGUCUUUCCUGGCUGACCUCAACCAUUGCCUUUUUUACUCUGCUUCUGUAGGUAAAGAUAGUCUCAAGUACUUAAGGGCUAGCUCUAAGCAGGGCCAGCUAAAUUGCCGUUGGAUUGCAUUGAUGCACUCUUGUGGAUUUAAGUAGAGUUUUCUGUUUUUUAUCUUAUAGAUUUCUGUCCUUUGUUCUUUCUUAACACGUUUCAUUUUCUUUGAACACUAAAGGCAGUAAUUUCUAUGUAGGGAGUGCCCUUAAUAUGCCUGGUGUUUUAUAUCAUUAGCUGUAUCUUCAAACAUACCUGUUAUAAAGGUUAGGAAAUAUAGGUGAUAUUUGUGACCAUUUUCAUAGGGAAGAAAUAUAUUAUCUUAAAAGACCUCAGUGGGCCUGAAAUUUUAGCCAAUCUAAUCUAAAAUCCAGCAUUUCCUAAUAGUUAUGUGCUUUGAAAUUUUAGUCAAAUUCAUGUCACUGUUCCUACCUUUACCCUGUUCCAUAUACUAGUUAUGCUGCUAUUUACUUAACGUUUCUUUUUACUCAACUGAAAACUUCAGGCUUCUAUCAUUUUAAAUAAUAUGCAGUUAUACAUUUGAUGUAACAAUUGUAGUUAAAAUGUGUAAGUAUUCUGACCAGAGCAAAGCUAUUCUGAGGAGAGACACUGACUUUCCAUCAGCUAUCAGACUAUUGAAACAACGGUCCUGAAGGAAUUGGAAUUUACACAGAAAUCUCAUGCUGGGAGAAGGAAGAGGCUGAAUCCUGGUGUCAGUCAGAAAAGAUACUUAUAUUCCAGGAGGAGAGUUACACAGUUUUGGCAACUUGUCCAACCACCUUGCUGGAUAGACUAGAGCAGAGACAUUGAUGCGUUGGUGCUGGGCAGGACCAUGCAUUGAUUAGGACUGCUAAGAGAUGCAUACCUCUCUCACGUUCUUUAAGUCCAAACCUUAUGCUUUCUUCCUCCAGGAUGGAGAUUCCUUUCCAGGCAUGCUCCCAUAGAGUUUCUCGAGCAGUUCGCAGGAUGCUCGUUUGUUCAUGAAAACCUCAGAUUGCUUUCAUAACAAAGUAGCUUCCAGAGUGAAGGAGCCAUGUCUGGCAGCGCUGGAUCGUCCUCUGAGCAAAUGUUUUACAUUUAGUUUCGAUCACAGUAGUUUAAGGCUAUUGUAUGUUAGAAAAUGCCACACUGACACACUGAAUUUGCCACUGUUGCGAAGAUUUUUGUAGAUUUUAUUCACUUCGAUUAUCAACCAACUUUGAAGUCUAUCCUCUAUAGCAGUGUGAGUGGGUCUCAGUCAAUCAAGUAAAGACCCCAAGAGCAAAAUUUGAGGUUACCUGGGAGGAAGAAAUGCUGCCUCAACUGCAUCUCCUGCCUGAUUUCCCAACCUGUUUUACAAAUUAUGGACUGGACAGUCCCCAUUAGAGGACUUACCUUGCUUUACAAACACACAUGCACAUGCACGCACUGCACAAAUGCACACUAUUGGUUUUGAUUUUCCAAAGCACCCUGACAUACUGUGCAAAUGCAAUAUGCAUGCAGGAAGGCAGCCAAGAUUGCAAGGAGCCUGAAAACCAGGAGGAUCCCUAAUCUGCAGCAGGUGUGACAAGUCGCUGGAGGUGAUAUUUAGCUAGAAUAAAUAGGAAGAUGGGAAGUCUUAAAUGAGAUUUUGUAGCUAUCUUCCUACAUUUGAAGGCUUAAAUGUGGGAGAACCAAACUUAUUCUUGUUGCCUAAGAAAAUAGAAUAGUGCUCUAAAAGUAGAAGUUACAGUGGGCAGAUCAGAUCAUUGUAAGCUAAGAGAUGGCUAAUUAUGAGCACUAAGUUGACUUCCACUCAAAACAUUGAGCUCAUAGGGACCAGCAUCCAAUAAGAACUGCACUAUGAAGUUAGAAUAAGGACUCCUGGAUUGAGUAAGAAAAAAAAGUGUGACCUAGAAGCUUUUUCUGAGCCCGGCAGAGUCAAAACGACAGCCCCCAAUUACUGGGCAUGCUUAUGUGCUGAGCAUCAUGCCUAGCAUUUUGCACAUUUGAUUAGUCAGCUUUAUCCUUUCAAACCCUGAAGAUGGACUUUUACAUCUUUGCUAAUAAAGAGGAACAAGGUUCAUAAAAGCUUGAUAGCUGGUCCAACAUAAUUCAAUAAGUUGUAGUACUAGACUUGAAGGCAAGACCUGUGUGAGUCUUCAGGCUCCCUGUAGUUCUUAUAAUAGAGAGCAAGACCAUGCAGCAAAGAUCUACUUUUCUAUAAUAGUAAAAUUUAAAAUUUAAGCACAGUCCACCAGUUUAUGUACUUGAUCUUUAACAUAGUUAUCCCAAUUAUAUCUUUCUCUUUCAGUCUUCAGUCUAACACAGAAAAUGCAUCUGGACAAGGCAAGACCUUGUUUGUCAAAGGAUUCAAAGUAUAAAUUAUGUAUUCUUCUCUUAAACAAAUACUGGUUGACUGAAGACAGUUGUUAUUUCAGAAUAUAGCUACAGACAGGAUAGGCAUGGCCCCUGCCCCACCAAGAAACACAUUUUCAACUAUGAAAACAGAUACUAAAUUGAAAUGUAUCUAUAAGUAUUUAAAGACAAAUUGUCACCAAAGCAAAGGAAAAGAAUGGAACUCCUAGAAUAUUAUGUGAGGUUUUUUUUUCUCUUUUAUGUGAGACUUUAUCUCUUCUAGGUCAGAAAAGACAUCUCUCAGUGAGUGGCUGCAGGGUGAAGGGUGCAUGAUGUUUAGUAGGGACAGGGUACAACAUGGCUCUGAAGUUGUAAGCUACUAGAAUCCUUGAAGAACUGAUCAACAGCUAGUGUGACUGCCUUAUGAAGAAAAGCUGUAGAGUCUCAGAGGCAUGAGAUGCAACUGAGGAGUAAGAUCAAGUCUACUUCAUUCAGGACCAUGGAAAAUGUGUAAUCUUUUAAAAGGAAUGAAUUAGAGAUGAAGAUAACUUGGAGGCUUAGACAGAUCAACCGUAAGUUUGAAGAUAAGAUCAUAGCUGGACCUUGGGUUGUGUAUGGAAAGGUUAUACAUGGCAGACCUAAUAUGGUUACUCUCAGAACAUUUCUAUUUUCAAGACUGGCAUCAGAAAACCCAGGCACUUGUAAGUCCCACCAUUUUCAGAAUAAGUAAGAGUGUGUGAGGGUUCCUGAACUGUGAAAUAAUACAGUUUAUGCUGAAGACGUGCCUGUCCUUCAGGAGUCUGGAAUUUUAAGACACCAGGCAGAGGGUGGCUACAUGAGCACUCCUCAAUGAAACCCAUGAGAUGAUGAGCCUUUUGAAAUAUCCCCUGACAACACUUCACAAAACCUGUCAUCUGUUGCUGGAGGGAUAAAGACAUUCUGGGGACUUCGCUGCAUGGGACUCUUGGAAGUUUCUGAUGGCUUCCUUGGGUGUCUACCUAAUAUGAUUUCUACCUUGGCUCAUUUUACUUUGUGUCCUUUCUCUCUAAUGAAUCUUAGCUAUGAACAUGACUAUAUGAGCCUCACUAGUCCUAACAAACUACUCAAUCUGGUGGGAGCACUUUUGGAGACUCCUGGCACAGGAAGAAUGGCUACUAUAACCUAGAAGCCCACAGAGACCUUCAAGCUUCCUGCUUGAUCAUAGAAGGGCUUAAAGGCAGGGCUGGAAUAGCCUGCUGCACCUGGGCAAUUGAGCCUUUAUAUUUGCUUUACUACUGUAGGGUCUGGAAAUUUCUACAGUGAUUCACAGCUGGGUAAUCAAAAUUUAAAGAUAUUCACAAAUUUUCAAUGAAGACUCAUAAUAAAUAUUAAAAAGCCACUGUAAUCCCCAGUGCCACUGCCCUAGAUUUUCCAGGAGCAUGCCGUGUUACCUUUGGGAGAUCAGAAAGUCCAUGUCAUAGCUCUAUACAGUUCUAACCUAUCUGUCCUUAUUAGAAUUCAGAUGCACUAAUGAGUGCAAUAAAGGUGUACUCCAGGGCAUUUCAAUUUUAUGCCUUUAUAUUAAGUCAUCCAAUCUUAUGGUUUAAUGCCCUCUUUUGAUGGAUACAAUUUAUUAUACAGGACCAAGAAAAACAAGUCACGCCUUUGAAUUUUAUCUGUUAAUUGCAAAAACUGUCAAUAGAAACAUACUAGAA